rnacentral:rRNA from 1 species
CAAGGAAUUUUCCCCAAUGGGCUCACGCCUGAGGGAGCAACGCCGCGUGCGGGAUGACGGCCUUCGGGUUGUAAACCGCUUUUGGAGGGGAAGAAGAGGACGGUACCCUCCGAAUAAGCCUCGGCUAACUCUGUGCCAGCAGCCGCGGUAAGACAGAGGAGGCAAGCGUUGUCCGGACUGACUGGGCGUAAAGCGCGCGCAGGCGGCGUCGGGCGUCGGUGCUGAAAGACCACCGCUUAACGGUGGUUAGCGUGCCGAUACGCCGACGCUGGAGGGCGGGCGAGGGCGGUGGAAUUGCCGGUGUAGUGGUGAAAUGCGUAGAGAUCGGCAGGAACACCCGUGGCGGAAGCGGCCGCCUAGCCCGCACCUGACGCUGAGGCGCGACAGCGUGGGGAGCGAACGGGAUUAGAUACCCCGGUAGUCCACGCCGUAAACGAUGCCGACUCGGUGUCCGUGAGGCGAAUAGCCUUGGGGGCGCCCCAGCUCACGCGGUAAGUCGGCCGCCUGGGG